GUCGGAAUAGUUUAGUUGGGUAGAACAGCGGGAUCAUAAUUCGCACACGGGGGUUCAAAUCCCUCUUCCGAUA
rnacentral:tRNA from 1 species